rnacentral:rRNA from 1 species
AGGAUUAACGCUGGCGGCGUGCCUAACACAUGCAAGUCGAACGAGGUAGCAAUACCUAGUGGCAGACGGGUGAGUAGCGCGUGGUCAACCUACCGUUGAGUGGGGGAUAACUAGCCGAAAGGUUAGCUAAUACCGCAUACGUCUCCGAGGGGCAUCCCUUGGCGAUAAAAGGAGCAAUCCGCUCGAUGACGGGACCGCGUCCCAUUAGCUAGUUGGUGGGGUAACGGCCUACCAAGGCAUCGAUGGGUAGCUGGUUUGAGAGAGCGACCAGCCACACUGGGACUGAGAUACGGCCCAGACUCCUACGGGAGGCAGCAGUGAGGAAUUUUCCGCAAUGGGCGAAAGCCUGACGGAGCGACGCCGCGUGUGGGAAGAAGGCCUUCGGUCGUAAACCACUGUCGAAGGGAAGAUAAUGACGGUACCCUUGGAGGAAGCCCGGCUAACUACGUGCCAGCAGCCGC